rnacentral:rRNA from 1 species
UACGUAGGGAGCAAGCGUUGUCCGGAAUCAUUGGGCGUAAAGCGCGCGUAGGCGGCCCUGUAAGUCCGUUGUGAAAGUCAAAGGCUCAACCUUUGAAAGCCGAUGGAUACUGCAGGGCUAGAGUCCGGAAGAGGCGAGUGGAAUUUCUGGUGUAGCGGUGGAAUGCGCAGAUAUCAGGAGGAACACCAAUAGCGAAGGCAGCUCGCUGGGACGGUACUGACGCUAAGGCGCGAAAGCGUGGGGAGCGAACAGG